UUGAUGGUUUGUGCUAUUUAAUUUAAUUUAAUUUAAACGCGCUUCAUCUUCCGCUUCUUUGGUUUUAGUUCCUUCUUUGUUCCUUUCUUGGAUCUCUUGUCGCCUCAUCGAACCUUUUGAUAAACUGGUUUGGUUUGGUUUGAUCUCCCGUGCGAAUCGCUUCGUCCUCUGCCGUAAAUUCCAGUUCCAGGUGAGACCCGGUUUCUUGAUGUCGCUAAAGUAGCGAAGGAUCGAUGCGGGGUUUUCUUCGUUUCGAUUCUUGUAUAUGAUUGUUUCUUUAGAUUUCUCUUCCUCGUGUGAUUGUUCGCUUUUUCGUUGGGGUCCAAGAAAGUGGCGAAGGCUCGAUGCGGGGUUUUCCUCGUUUCGAUUCUUGUAUGUUUCUGUUUUCCAAGUGGCGAAGGAUCGAUGUGAGGUUUUCUCGGGUUCGAUUCUUGUAUGUGUCUGUUUCCAAGUGACGAAGGAUCGAUGUGAGGUUUUCUUCGUUUCGAUUCUUGUAUGUGUCUGUUUCCAAGUGGCGAAGGAUCGAUGUGAGGUUUUCUUGGGUUCGAUUCUUGUAUGUGUCUGUUUCCAAGUGGCGACGGAUCGAUGUGCGGUUUUCUUCGUUUCGAUUCUUGUCUGUGUCUUUUUCGCGUGAUCUUGUGACGAGUAGUUCGCUUUUUGUUGGGGUCCAAGAAAGUGGCGAAGGAUCGAUGUGGGGUUUUCUUCAUCGAUCGAUUUGCUUCGUCUCCGAGUCAUGGAAUUAUCCGGACGCUGGAGAACAGAUUCCAGGAAGAAUUGUGUCAUAUAUCGGUGCCAAUGAGUUCUAAGAACAUCCACGAAGGUGCUAAGAAGGAAAUCACUUCAUGGCAGGAGACAUCAACUUAGGACAAAAUAGCCAAAAAUAAAAUAUGAUGAUGAGGAAACCAUGAAACUCACUUUUGCGGAUAUUUCUCAAGUGAAUUUUCCUGCCAUUUCUGAUUUUUUUUACCUUUUAACUAUUUAAUGAUGUGAAAGUUCUUCAUGUCAGAACGUGUUGAUGAUAGCUUGACUUGGCAACACUUAUUUCUCAAA